UAUCCGAAUGGUCUUCAACAGCACGAUA
rnacentral:piRNA from 1 species